UCUCUACCGGCUUUUCCCGGAGCAAACUUUCGGGCUGCAAAGCGAAGUCUACUUUUCUUCCGGCCGAGCGCGGCACGUUUUCGGAAGAACCCUCGCUGGCCGCGCUGCCGCAGGGGCUCCAUCCGGGACAGGUCGCUGCUUCGCCUCGGGCCGGGUUCGUGGUGAGAAAGCACAUUUAAAACAAACCAAGGAGACCACCACCAGCACCGUCGUGCGGCUCUCUGGUUAACCCCCCCUAAUGACUGACGGCUGGUGCCACUGAGACAAAUAAAUACAUCGUAAGGAGGGCAAUGGGUCGCGAGUCGUUUUGGCCCUAAGCUCGGACUUGGGAGAAAUGGAAACCAGAAUGAAUAGGACUCGGGAGAGCGGACGAGUUUGAAAAACGCCUUUCAAAAUCCGCGGGAAAGGGCCCGAAGUGACUACGAUGGAAAGCUUAAAAAUAACAGUUUCAAAGCAAGCCGUCGGAAACAAAAGCCGGAGCGGAGGGGUGAAACAGAAAUGAGAACCCCGUGCCGGGAGCAGUCGCGGCGCUCGCUCCGAGCGGGGCGGCAGGGAAGCGAGCCCCUGCCCGCACAGCGACCCGAAACGGGACCGUGUGUCCUGCCCUGCAAAGCCUUCCUCUCCCUCCUGCACCUUUCCCGAGAAAAGGCUCCGCAUCCCCGAGACCCCUCGGCCAAGGCGGUGUGAGGACCCCCGCCUCCACCGCUCGUACCUUUUCCAUGGAGCAAGUCCAUGGGGAAAAAGCACCGCUGGCUAUUUCUGUCGGGCUUAUUUCCCUGCUAAUUCUGUUUUGCCAUUGAUGCUCUGGAGGCUCGCGAGGAAGUAAAGUUGGGAAGGACUUCGGAAAGGCGAGAAGCCGGAGGGAGAGGGGGCUGCCGGGCAGGGAGGGUUUGGGAUGCCCGUGGCGUGGGGGCUCCCCGGCUACACUAGAGCUCGACAGGAUCAGCAAAGCCCUCCCCGAUGUGAGCGGUUGGAUUGUUGGUGGCUGUUUGGUUUUUGCUUUUGUUUUUUUUUCAAUGCGGAGUUAACUAAGGUCCUUCGCUAGAAAGAACUUUUUCUGGGGGAGUGAUGGAAGCUAACUCUAGUGAGAACAACGAGAAGUUCAGCAGGAAUUACGGCCCCGGUGAGCUGCGGCGAGCUACUUCGGCCGAGAGUGAAUAACAAUAAAUAAAUAAAUGAAAGAGUGAAAGGGAAAAAAA